rnacentral:rRNA from 1 species
AUUGAACGCUGGCGGCAUGCUUUACACAUGCAAGUCGAACGGUAACAGGUUAAGCUGACGAGUGGCGAACGGGUGAGUAAUGCAUCGGAACGUGCCCGGUCGUGGGGGAUAACGCAGCGAAAGCUGCGCUAAUACCGCAUACGAUCUGAGGAUGAAAGCGGGGGACCGUAAGGCCUCGCGCGAUCGGAGCGGCCGAUGUCAGAUUAGGUAGUUGGUGGGGUAAAGGCUCACCAAGCCGACGAUCCGUAGCUGGUCUGAGAGGACGACCAGCCACACUGGGACUGAGACACGGCCCAGACUCCUACAGGAGGCAGCAGUGGGGAAUUUUGGACAAUGGGCGCAAGCCUGAUUCAUCAAUGCCGCGUGCAGGAAGAAGGCCUUCGGGUUGUAAACUGCUUUUGUACGGAGCGAAAAGGCUCUCUCUAAUACAGGGGGCUCAUGACGGUACCGUAAGAAUAAGCACCGGCUAACUACGUGCCAGCAGCCGCCGUAA